UUGACAACUUUGGAGACUGAAGUCCUCUCAUCAGCCACAGAACAUGUACAGUACAGCUGCGGCAAUACCAGUUUCUCCACACGGUGCCCAACAGAUGUGCUUCUGCCCUGAUCUGAAGGGACCGUCUCAAGAGAUAAAAGGAAGUUCGGUGCCCUUGGCUUCUCUGCUGAGACUGCC
rnacentral:sRNA from 1 species